rnacentral:misc_RNA from 1 species
UACAGAGACCUCAAACGUUGUCCGGAUUCAUUGGGCGUAAAGCGUCCGCAGGUGGUAUGACAAGUUGUUGGUUAAAUCCUGGUGCUCAACAUCAGGACCGCUGACAAAACUAUCAUGCUCGAGGCUGGGAGAGGCAAGCGGAACUGCCGGUGUAGUCGUAAUAAGCGCUGAUAUCGGCAGGAACACCAAAGGCGAAGGCAGCUUGCUAGAACAUGCCUGACACUCAUGGACGAAAGCGUGGGGAGCGAAUGGG